rnacentral:ncRNA from 1 species
CCCCUGCUGUUCCUCCCUGAGCAGGCGUCUACCGUGACAGCGGAAGACGGUUUGAACCCCAGCCGGAUGGCUGGGGUUUCUUUU